rnacentral:rRNA from 1 species
UACAGAGGUCCCGAGCGUUGUUCGGAUUCACUGGGCGUAAAGGGUGCGUAGGUGGCUUGGAAAGUUUGAUGUGAAAGCUCAGGGCUUAACCCUGAAAUGGCAUUGAAUACUGCUGAGCUGGAGGUUUGGAGGGGGGACUGGAAUUCUUGGUGUAGCAGUGAAAUGCGUAGAUAUCAAGAGGAACACCAGUGGCGAAGGCGAGUCCCUGGACGAUACCUGACACUGAGGCACGAAAGCCAAGGGAGCAAACAGG